GACGAACGCUGGCGGCGUGCUUAACACAUGCAAGUCGAACGGAAAGGCCCUGCUUUUGUGGGGUGCUCGAGUGGCGAACGGGUGAGUAAUACGUGAGUAACCUGCCCUUGACUUUGGGAUAACUUCAGGAAACUGGGGUUAAUACCGGAUAGGAGCUCCUGCUGCAUGGUGGGGGUUGGAAAGUUUGGGCGGUUGGGGAUGGACUCGCGGCUUACCAGCUUGUUGGUGGGGUAGUGGCUUACCAAGGCUUUGAUGGGUAGCCGGCCUGAGGGGGUGACCGGCCACAUUGGGACUGGGAUACGGCCCAGACUCCUACGGGAGGCAGCAGUGGGGAAUAUUGCACAAUGGGCGGAAGCCUAAUGCAGCAACGCCGCGUGCGGGAUGACGGCCUUCGGGUUGUAAACCGCUUUCGCCUGUGACGAAGCGUGAGUGACGGUAAUGGGUAAAGAAGCACCGGCUAACUACGUG
rnacentral:rRNA from 1 species